UACGUAGGUGGCAAGCGUUGUCCGGAUUUAUUGGGCGUAAAGCGCGCGCAGGCGGUUCCUUAAGUCUGAUGUGAAAGCCCCCGGCUCAACCGGGGACGGGCAUUGGAAACUGGGAAACUUGAGUGUCGUAGAGGAGAGUGGAAUUCCAGGUGUAGCGGUGAAAUGCGUAGAUAUAUGGAGGAACACCAGUGGCGAAGGCGACUCUCUGGGC
rnacentral:rRNA from 1 species